GUCCAUAGUCUGAGAGGACGGCUGGUCACUGCAACGCGGUAUGCUCGGCCUGGGAGGCGAGGGCCGCCAGGAGGAGACGCGUGGCAUGAGCCAGAAGCACCUGCCCUGAAACCUGGAUUUGUACUUUGGGUGUCCUUCCAAGCUCGAGUCUCAGUAGGAGACAGACGACACACUUGAAUGGGGUGUUUCUCUGGCAUCCAAUUCAAGAACUGACCUUCGGGAAACUCGGGGGCAGAUCAUCUCUGUGACCCUCUUCAGAGCUCAUUUCUUCAUUCAUUGUUCCUAGACUUCAGGGGGGAUGCUAGCAGAGAUGAGGCAGGACUGAGGCAAAGGCCGGGUACGGCUGACUUCUAAUCCACUUUAACGAGAUUCGAAUUUAUCUCAAAGA